UUCAAUCAUUUAUAUUAUGUAUUUAUGUAGGUAUCAUGAUAAUAAUGUUAUUAUCAUCAUGAUACCAUAUUUUAUGUACCAUUUUAUUUAUGUACGUAGGCACAGAACAAAUGCGACACAUGUACCUACCUACCUACAUACCUAAUACUAAGGCCCAAUCAAUCAAAAGGCAUCACCACGCAACCAGUGCAAUGCAGUGCAGUGCAGUGGAAUGACUGCAUUGGCCAUCCAGUAGUUAAUCAGUUACUAGAUGCAAGAAGUGUGCGGACCACCGGCCCCGGGCCCUCUCAACCUUAUGCGAGUACCUACAUACAUACAUACAUAACUGUGCACCCGUACCGGCACCGUCUACUAUCUACUGUCGUCAAUUAGGAUGCAGUAUGGAUCGCAGACACAUCUCAUCGUCCAGUUUUCCAGUUUCCACCAGCCAUACCACCAGCUAUGACCAGGCACCAGACGCCAGCGGCGCUUCCUCAACGUUAUGCUUAAACGCCACACUAUAUAUGUACAGGGUGAAGGUU